rnacentral:rRNA from 1 species
UACGAAGGGUGCGAGCGUUAUUCGGAAUCACUGGGCGUAAAGAGUGCGUAGACGGUAGAUUAAGUUUGUUGUUAAAGACUCUAGCCUAACUGGAGCGCUGCAAUGAAAACUGGUUUGCUGGAGGGUGAGAGAGAGAAGUGGAAUUCCUGGAGUAGCGGUAAAAUGCGUGGAUCUCAGGAGGAACACCAAUGGCGAAGGCAGCUUCUUGGCUCAUUCCUGACGUUGAGGCACGAAAGCGUGGGGAGCAAACAGG